rnacentral:rRNA from 1 species
UACGAAGGGGGGCUAGCGUUGUUCGGAUUUACUGGGCGUAAAGCGCACGUAGGCGGAUCUUUAAGUCAGGGGUGAAAUCCCGAGGCUCAACCUCGGAACUGCCUUUGAUACUGGGGAUCUCGAGUCCGGGAGAGGUGAGUGGAACUGCGAGUGUAGAGGUGAAAUUCGUAGAUAUUCGCAAGAACACCAGUGGCGAAGGCGGACUCACUGGCCCGGUACUGACGCUGAGGUGCGAAAGCGUGGGGAGCAAACA